rnacentral:rRNA from 1 species
GGAGAAGCCCGGAGAUGGGCACUGAGACAAGGGCCCAGGCCCUAUGGGGCGCAGCAGGCGCGAAAACUCUGCAAUGGGCGAAAGCCUGACAGGGUUACUCUGAGUGAUUUCCGCUAAGGAGAUCUUUUGGCAGCUCUAAAAAUGGUGCAGAAUAAGGGGUGGGCAAGUCUGGUGUCAGCCGCCGCGGUAAUACCAGCACCCCGAGUGGUCGGGACGAUUAUUGGGCCUAAAGCAUCCGUAGCCGGUUGUGCAAGUCCUCCGUUAAAUCCAGCCGCUCAACGGAUGGGCUGCGGAGGAUACUACAGAACUAGGAGGCGGGAGAGGCAAGCGGUACUUAGUGGGUAGGGGUAAAAUCCUUUGAUCCAUUGAAGA